CCGCAUAAUUCCUGUAAAACGCUAUUCACCCCCCCUCUAGCAUUGUUCACGGUUCCUAACAAAUCUUCCUAGCCACCCCAAGCAUACAAGUAUGAGGCAAUUCUAUAUUGCCUUCAUCAUUCAUAUCUCCAUUUUUUUCUUUUCCCUCACUAUUAAUUGAACUCAGUCAAGUUAUUUUCCACUGUUUUACUACUCAGUCAUUUUUACUCCGUUUUGAGACUUAAAUGAUAUUUUAAAUGAUAUUUUGGGCUGAGCAAUACUGUUUUACUGAUGCCGAGAGGCUUGUGAGUAUUUUUGACUGAGUAAGGCCAAGGGCCUAAAACUGAGGAAACACUGAUACACUAAUUUGAGGCCGAAGACCUAGAUUUGAUGCCACGAGAUGGCUUGAUAUUACGCUUGGACCGUAAGGGGCCCUUCUUGGAGUAUGUACACCCUCAGUGAGUGGGACUUAUUGUGAUGUGAGAUAUAGCCCGAUGGGAUGAUAUUGUACUAUAUGAUAGCACGAGGGGUUGGUAUUGUUCUAUGUGAUAUCCCGAGGGCUGGUACCGUUCUAUGUGAUUGCCUGAGGGGCUGGUAUUGUUUUGAGAUAUAUCCUGAGGGGCAGAGUUGUUGAAAUUAUGUCCGAGGGGCAAACCUUUAUAUGUUUAUCUUUCAUAUUUACUUGCCAUUUUACCUGUUAAAUAUGGUAUUUAUGCUCGAGGGGAGGAUUUUUGUGCUUACCUGCACUAACUAUUUUUGCAUUCAUUAGCGUAACUGUUGAAAAGCCAUUUUUAAAUAAGUUUAAACUGAGCUAAGAUGUUUUAAGAGAUUUUACAGCUUCGGCGUUUUUUAUUGGUAUUCGAAUUGCUUCUAUACAGUAUUCUGGUACGCUUUACGUGAUUUCUUACUGCUCAGUUGUUAUUUACAUUUGUUACUCACUGAGGUUGAGUACUUACUUUACUCCAUGCACCUUGUGUGUAGAUUCAGGUAUUUCUGAACCCGAUAGUGGGCAUUGGCUGAUCCGAGGUAGGUCGUCUGAGUUUAGCAAGGUAGCUGUCAGCGUUCUCAACACCACUUUUCUCCCUCUUUAUUUAUUAGUCUUGUUUUGUAUACUUCAGACCUUUCAGUUGUAUUUAUACUCUAGUAGAUGCUCGUAACUUGUGACACCCCCGUUAGGGCUGUGUCGGGUUGUACUUCCA
rnacentral:lncRNA from 1 species